rnacentral:rRNA from 1 species
GACAGAGGGUGCAAACGUUGUUCGGAAUUACUGGGCGUAAAGCGCGUGUAGGCGGCUUGGCAAGUCGGGUGUGAAAGCCCUGGGCUCAACCUAGGAAGUGCACUCGAAACUGCUUCGCUUGAGUGUCGGAGAGGAAAGCGGAAUUCUCGGUGUAGAGGUGAAAUUCGUAGAUAUCGAGAGGAACACCGGUGGCGAAGGCGGCCUUCUGGACAGCCACUGACGCUGAGACGCGAAAGCGUGGGGAGCAAACAGG